rnacentral:rRNA from 1 species
GUGGCUUAGGUGUGGGAUGGGGAGAAUCUAUAGUUGACCUUUAGAAGGUGUGAUAAUGAAGAUAUCUUGUCCUCCUGGAAUGAACUACUCAAUAUGAUUAAAAGUGUUCCUUUUAACAACAUGGCUAAUAAGCCUGUUUGGUCCUUGGACAAUAAAGGGAUAUACUCUGUUAAAUCGAUGUAUAAGAUGAUUAAUUGGGGAGGAAUGGUCUCUAUUUGGAGGGAUUAUAUUUGGAAAAUCAAAGUUCCCCCUAAUAUCCAUGUUUUUCUGUGGUUGAUUGUGAACAAUAAGAGUCUGACUAGGGACAAUCUGGCUAAACGCCAGCAUCUGGAAGACCUGACUUGUGUCUUCUGCUGUGAACCUGAAAGCCUCCAGCAUCUUUUUUUUGAUUGUGUGGUGGCUCGACAAGUUUGGCUGGUGAUAGCUAACUGUACCAAGAUGCCUGUGCCUGAUUCGUUUGAAUCAUUGCUUCCUUUUUGGAAGAAGAAAAAAAGUUUUGAUGCUGUAAAUUUGAUUUCUGCUGCUACCUUAUGGAGCUUAUGGUUGUUUCGAAAUGAAAUUGUGUUCUAG